GGUUAAGCGACUAAGCGUACACGGUGGAUGCCCCGGCAGUCAGAGGCGAUGAAGGACGUGCUAAUCUGCGAUAAGCGUCGGUAAGGUGAUAUGAACCGUUAUAACCGGCGAUUUCCGAAUGGGGAAACCCAGUGUGUUUCGACACACUAUCAUUAACUGAAUCCAUAGGUUAAUGAGGCGAACCGGGGAACUGAAACAUCUAAGUACCCCGAGGAAAAGAAAUCAACCGAGAUUCCCCAGUAGCGGCGAGCGAACGGGGAGGAGCCCAGAGCCUGAAUCAGUGUGUGUGUUAGUGGAAGCGUCUGGAAAGGCGCGCGAUACAGGGUGACAGCCCCGUACACAAAAAUGCACAUGCUGUGAGCUCGAUGAGUAGGGCGGGACACGUGGUAUCCUGUCUGAAUAUGGGGGACCAUCCUCCAAGGCUAAAUACUCCUGACUGACCGAUAGUGAACCAGUACCGUGAGGGAAAGGCGAAAAGAACCCCGGCGAGGGGAGUGAAAAAGAACCUGAAACCGUGUACGUACAAGCAGUGGGAGCCUCUUUAUGGGGUGACUGCGUACCUUUGUAUAAUGGGUCAGCGACUUAUAUUCUGUAGCAAGGUUAACCGAAUAGGGGAGCCGAAGGGAAACCGAGUCUUAACUGGGCGUUAAGUUGCAGGGUAUAGACCCGAAACCCGGUGAUCUAGCCAUGGGCAGGUUGAAGGUUGGGUAACACUAACUGGAGGACCGAACCGACUAAUGUUGAAAAAUUAGCGGAUGACUUGUGGCUGGGGGUGAAAGGCCAAUCAAACCGGGAGAUAGCUGGUUCUCCCCGAAAGCUAUUUAGGUAGCGCCUCGUGAAUUCAUCUCCGGGGGUAGAGCACUGUUUCGGCAAGGGGGUCAUCCCGACUUACCAACCCGAUGCAAACUGCGAAUACCGGAGAAUGUUAUCACGGGAGACACACGGCGGGUGCUAACGUCCGUCGUGAAGAGGGAAACAACCCAGACCGCCAGCUAAGGUCCCAAAGUCAUGGUUAAGUGGGAAACGAUGUGGGAAGGCCCAGACAGCCGGGAUGUUGGCUUAGAAGCAGCCAUCAUUUAAAGAAAGCGUAAUAGCUCACUGGUCGAGUCGGCCUGCGCGGAAGAUGUAACGGGGCUAAACCAUGCACCGAAGCUGCGGCAGCGACGCUUAUGCGUUGUUGGGUAGGGGAGCGUUCUGUAAGCCUGCGAAGGUGUGCUGUGAGGCAUGCUGGAGGUAUCAGAAGUGCGAAUGCUGACAUAAGUAACGAUAAAGCGGGUGAAAAGCCCGCUCGCCGGAAGACCAAGGGUUCCUGUCCAACGUUAAUCGGGGCAGGGUGAGUCGACCCCUAAGGCGAGGCCGAAAGGCGUAGUCGAUGGGAAACAGGUUAAUAUUCCUGUACUUGGUGUUACUGCGAAGGGGGACGGAGAAGGCUAUGUUGGCCGGGCGACGGUUGUCCCGGUUUAAGCGUGUAGGCUGGUUUUCCGGGCAAAUCCGGAAAAUCAAGGCUGAGGCGUGAUGACGAGGCACUACGGUGCUGAAGCAACAAAUGCCCUGCUUCCGGGAAAAGCCUCUAAGCAUCAGGUAACAUCAAAUCGUACCCCAAACCGACACAGGUGGUCAGGUAGAGAAUACCAAGGCGCUUGAGAGAACUCGGGUGAAGGAACUAGGCAAAAUGGUGCCGUAACUUCGGGAGAAGGCACGCUGAUAUGUAGGUGAAGCGACUUGCUCGUGGAGCUGAAAUCAGUCGAAGAUACCAGCUGGCUGCAACUGUUUAUUAAAAACACAGCACUGUGCAAACACGAAAGUGGACGUAUACGGUGUGACGCCUGCCCGGUGCCGGAAGGUUAAUUGAUGGGGUUAGCGGUAACGCGAAGCUCUUGAUCGAAGCCCCGGUAAACGGCGGUACGUAACUAUAACGGUCCUAAGGUAGCGAAAUUCCUUGUCGGGUAAGUUCCGACCUGCACGAAUGGCGUAAUGAUGGCCGGGCUGUCUCCACCCGAGACUCAGUGAAAUUGAACUCGCUGUGAAGAUGCAGUGUACCCGCGGCAAGACGGAAAGACCCCGUGAACCUUUACUAUAGCUUGACACUGAACAUUGAGCCUUGAUGUGUAGGAUAGGUGGGAGGCUUUGAAGUGUGGACGCCAGUCUGCAUGGAGCCGACCUUGAAAUACCACCCUUUAAUGUUUGAUGUUCUAACGUUGGCCCCUGAUCGGGGUUGCGGACAGUGUCUGGUGGGUAGUUUGACUGGGGCGGUCUCCUCCUAAAGAGUAACGGAGGAGCACGAAGGUUGGCUAAUCUCGGUCGGACAUCAGGAGGUUAGUGCAAUGGCAUAAGCCAGCUUGACUGCGAGCGUGACGGCGCGAGCAGGUGCGAAAGCAGGUCAUAGUGAUCCGGUGGUUCUGAAUGGAAGGGCCAUCGCUCAACGGAUAAAAGGUACUCCGGGGAUAACAGGCUGAUACCGCCCAAGAGUUCAUAUCGACGGCGGUGUUUGGCACCUCGAUGUCGGCUCAUCACAUCCUCGGGGCUGAAGUAGGUCCCAAGGGUAUGGCUGUUCGCCAUUUAAAGUGGUACGCGAGCUGGGUUUAGAACGUCGUGAGACAGUUCGGUCCCUAUCUGCCGUGGGCGCUGGAGAACUGAGGGGGCUGCUCCUAGUACGAGAGGACCGGAGUGGACGCAUCACUGGUGUUCGGGUUGUCAUGCCAAUGGCACUGCCCGGUAGCUAAAUGCGGAAGAGAUAAGUGCUGAAAGCAUCUAAGCACGAAACUUGCCCCGAGAUGAGUUCUCCCUGAGACUUUAAGUCUCCUGAAGGAACGUUGAAGACGACGACGUUGAUAGGCCGGGUGUGUAAGCGCAGCGAUGCGUUGAGCUAACCGGUACUAAUGAACCGUGAGGCUUAACCUU
rnacentral:rRNA from 1 species